rnacentral:rRNA from 1 species
AAAUUGAAGAGUUUGAUCAUGGCUCAGAUUGAACGCUGGCGGCAGGCCUAACACAUGCAAGUCGAACGGUAACAGGAAGCAGCUUGCUGCUUCGCUGACGAGUGGCGGACGGGUGAGUAAUGUCUGGGAAACUGCCUGAUGGAGGGGGAUAACUACUGGAAACGGUGGCUAAUACCGCAUAACGUCGCAAGACCAAAGAGGGGGACCUUCGGGGCUCUUGCCAUCAGAUGUGCCCAGAUGGGAUUAGCUUGUUGGUGAGGUAACGGCUCACCAAGGCGACGAUCCCUAGCUGGUCUGAGAGGAUGACCAGCCACACUGGAACUGAGACACGGUCCAGACUCCUACGGGAGGCAGCAGUGGGGAAUAUUGCACAAUGGGCGCAAGCCUGAUGCAGCCAUGCCGCGUGUAUGAAGAAGGCCUUCGGGUUGUAAAGUACUUUCAGCGGGGAGGAAGGUGUUGUGGUUAAUAACC